rnacentral:rRNA from 1 species
UGCUAAUACCGUAUAAUAAUUAAAACGCAUGGUUUAGUUUAAAGAUGGUCUUGCUAUCACUAAGAGAUGGUCCCGCGGUGUAUUAGUUAGUUGGUGAGGUAAUGGCUCACCAAGACAAUGAUACAUAGCCGAGUUGAGAGACUGACCGGCCACAAUGGGACUGAGACACGGCCCAUACUCCUACGGGAGGCAGCAGUAGGGAAUCUUCCACAAUGGACGAAAGUCUGAUGGAGCAACGCCGCGUGUGUGAUGAAGGGUUUCGGCUCGUAAAACACUGUUGUAAGAGAAGAAUGACAUUGAGAGUAACUGUUCAAUGUGUGACGGUAUCUUACCAGAAAGGAACGGCUAAAUACGUG